UACGUAGGGGGCAAGCGUUGUCCGGAUUUAUUGGGCGUAAAGAGCGUGUAGGCGGCCAGGUAGGUCUGCUGUGAAAACUCGAGGCUUAACCUCGAGCUGUCGGCGGAAACCAUCUGGCUAGAGUCCGGAAGAGGAGAAUGGAAUUCCCGGUGUAGCAGUGAAAUGCGUAGAUAUCGUGAGGAAGACCAGUGGCGAAGGCGGGUCUCUGGACAGUUCCUGACACUGAGGCACGAAGGCCAGGGGAGCAAACGGG
rnacentral:rRNA from 1 species